rnacentral:rRNA from 1 species
AGUGAACGCUGGCGGUAGGCCUAACACAUGCAAGUCGAGCGGCAGCACAGUACGUGCUUGCUGUUUCGGGUGCCGACUGGCGGGCGGGUGCGGAGUAUCUCGCUCUCUGCUUUUGCGUGGGGGCUGACGCGGGGGCUCUUACCGCAUUCCCGCUUACGGCGUACGGGUGAAAUCAUGGGAUCUUCGGCCCUUACGUGAUUGUAUGUGCGGAUGUCGGAUUAGCUAGUUGGCGGGGUAACGGCCCACCAAGGCGACGAUCGGUAGCUGGUCUGAGAGGAUGAUCAGUCACACUGGAACUGAGACACGGUCCAGACUCCUACGGGAGGCAGCAGUGGGGAAUAUUGGACAAUGGGCGCAAGCCUGAUCCAGCCAUGCCGCGUGUGUGAAGAAGGCCUUCGGAUUGUAAAGCCCUUUAGUUGGGGAGGAAGGGCAGCAGGUUAAUACCUCGCUGUUCUGACGGUACCCAAAGAAUAAGCACCGGCUAACUUCGUG